rnacentral:sRNA from 1 species
AAUGUCAAACAUAAUGUCAAACAUAACAAAAGAACAAAAGAACAAAGCGCAAAAGUGAGACAUGAACAUGUCUAAUGUACUAAAAACUAACACUUGUCUACACUAUAUGAAAACUAGAUGUGUGUUUCUUAUAUCCUUUCUACACUUGUCAGUGAUGAUAUGUAAGAAUUAAUAUCACUAAAUGUACCUCUAAAGUCGACCAAAACUAGAACUCACAUCUUUAUCAACAACAUAGAGAACCUUACGUUUUUUGGUUUCAUAGGUAGGUACAAUGGUAAGUCAGUCGCAAGGAGCAAGUGCUUUAUUUUGGGAGAGAAUUUACAGCAGCCUUGGUUGUCUUGCAGAUGGUAAGUGUAUCAGACAAAUCUUUGAAAUCGUCCCUUGACAAGUACACACCGUAGUCCAAAAGUCUAGUAAUCUGAGCCUUUCUUCAUUGUCCAUUUCAUCUACCGUUUGCCAAAAUCAGAUGAUAACGUCAUCGUUCUUAUCAAAUCCAUCAUAGAAUGUAUGCGCUCUCCACUAGUCUGGACAUAUAUUUUCUCAUAAAAUCAAACGACUCUACACUCUUUGGUUUCGAUACACUUUUAGUACAAUCAUCUUCUUCAUUAGGACACGAAGGAAUUGUCAUUCUAGUUGAUCGUAUGCUUACUCAUAUCUGUUUUUAUUGCCAUAAACUUCUUUUUGCAUGUCAUGGCUAAUAUGUGAACAUUAGUACAAUCAUUUAAGUUCUUUUUUUCCUACACUGAUAACCAAUUUAU